rnacentral:rRNA from 1 species
UGACUCUUCGGAUGAUUUGUUGGGCGUCGAGCGGCGGACGGGUGAGUAAUGCCUAGGAAGUUGCCCGGUAGAGGGGGAUAACCAUUGGAAACGAUGGCUAAUACCGCAUGAUCUCUACGGAGCAAAGCAGGGGACCUUCGGGCCUUGUGCUACCGGAUACGCCUAGGUGGGAUUAGCUAGUUGGUGAGGUAAUGGCUCACCAAGGCGACGAUCCCUAGCUGGUCUGAGAGGAUGAUCAGCCACACUGGAACUGAGACACGGUCCAGACUCCUACGGGAGGCAGCAGUGGGGAAUAUUGCACAAUGGGCGAAAGCCUGAUGCAGCCAUGCCGCGUGUAUGAAGAAGGCCUUCGGGUUGUAAAGUACUUUCAGUUGUGAGGAAGGGGGUAAGUUUAAUACGCUUAUCUCUUGACGUUAGCAACAGAAGAAGCACCGGCUAACUCCGUGCCAGCAGCCGCGGUAAUACGGAGGGUGCGAGCGUUAAUCGGAAUUACUGGGCGUAAAGCGCAUGCAGGUGGUUCAUUAAGUCAGAUGUGAAAGCCCGGGGCUCAACCUCGGAACUGCAUUUGAAACUGGUGAACUAGAGUACUGUAGA